rnacentral:rRNA from 1 species
UGCAUGUCUCAGUACAAGCCAAAUUAAGGUGAAACCGCGAAAGGCUCAUUAAAUCAGUUAUGGUUCCUUAGAUCGUACCCACAUUUACUUGGAUAACUGUGGUAAUUCUAGAGCUAAUACAUGCAAACAGAGCUCCGACCGGAGACGGAAGGAGCGCUUUUAUUAGAUCAAAACCAAUCGGUGGCGGGCUUGCUCGUCAUCGUAAUACUUGGUGACUCUGAAUAACUUUACGCUGAUCGCACGGUCUCGCACCGGCGACGCAUCUUUCAAAUGUCUGCCUUAUCAACUGUCGAUGGUAGGUUCUGCGCCUACCAUGGUUGUAACGGGUAACGGGGAAUCAGGGUUCGAUUCCGGAGAGGGAGCCUGAGAAACGGCUACCACAUCCAAGGAAGGCAGCAGGCGCGCAAAUUACCCACUCCCGGCACGGGGAGGUAGUGACGAAAAAUAACGAUACGGGACUCAUCCGAGGCCCCGUAAUCGGAAUGAGUACACUCUAAACCCUUUAACGAGGAUCAAUUGGAGGGCAAGUCUGGUGCCAGCAGCCGCGGUAAUUCCAGCUCCAAUAGCGUAUAUUAAAGUUGUUGCGGUUAAAAAGCUCGUAGUCGAAUCUGUGUCCCGCGCCGCUGGUUCAUCGUACGCGGUGUCAACUGGCGUGCCGCGGGACGUCCUGCCGGUGGGCUUAGCUCGCAAGGGCGGCCCAACUCAAUCCCGCCGCGGUGCUCUUCACUGAGUGUCGAGGUGGGCCGGCACGUUUACUUUGAACAAAUUAGAGUGCUUAAAGCAGGCUAAAACUUCGCCUGAAUACUGUGUGCAUGGAAUAAUGGAAUAGGACCUCGGUUCUAUUUUGUUGGUUUUCGGAACCCCGAGGUAAUGAUUAAUAGGAACGGAUGGGGGCAUUCGUAUUGCGACGUUAGAGGUGAAAUUCUUGGAUCGUCGCAAGACGGACAGAAGCGAAAGCAUUUGCCAAAAACGCUUUCAUUGAUCAAGAACGAAAGUUAGAGGUUCGAAGGCGAUCAGAUACCGCCCUAGUUCUAACCAUAAACGAUGCCAGCUAGCGAUCCGCCGACGUUCCUCCGAUGACUCGGCGGGCAGCUUCCGGGAAACCAAAGCUUUUGGGUUCCGGGGGAAGUAUGGUUGCAAAGCUGAAACUUAAAGGAAUUGACGGAAGGGCACCACCAGGAGUGGAGCCUGCGGCUUAAUUUGACUCAACACGGGAAACCUCACCAGGCCCGGACACCGGAAGGAUUGACAGAUUGAGAGCUCUUUCUUGAUUCGGUGGGUGGUGGUGCAUGGCCGUUCUUAGUUGGUGGAGCGAUUUGUCUGGUUAAUUCCGAUAACGAACGAGACUCUA